rnacentral:tRNA from 2 species
GCCGGCGUAGCUCAGUUGGUAGAGCACUUCAUUCGUAAUGAAGGGGUCCUCGGUUCAAGUCCGAGCGUCGGCU